rnacentral:rRNA from 1 species
CGCCUGUUUAUCAAAAACAUGUCUAUAUGAUUGUUAUAUAAAGUCUAGCCUGCCCACUGAUUUAGUUUAAAGGGCCGCGGUAUAUUGACCGUGCGAAGGUAGCAUAAUCAUUAGUCUUUUAAUUGAAGGCUUGUAUGAAUGGUUGGACAAAAAGUAAGCUGUCUCAAUUAUAAUAAUUGAACUUAACUUUUAAGUGAAAAGGCUUAAAUAAAUUAGGGGGACGAUAAGACCCUAUAAAGCUUGACAAUAAUUUAAUUAUACUAUCAAUUGUUAGUGUAACUUGGUUUUAAUUAAAAUUUGUUGCGUUGGGGCGACGAGAAUAUAAUAGGUAACUGUUCUUAAAUAUUUAAUAACAAAUAUAAUUGAAAAUUAGUAUGAUCCUCUAUUAGCGAUUAAAAGAUUAAGUUACUUUAGGGAUAACAGCGUAAUCUUCUUUGAGAGUCCCUAUCGACAAGAAGGUUUGCGACCUCGAUGUUGAAUUAAGGUAUCCUUAUGAUGCAGCAGUUAUAAAGGAAGGUCUGUUCGACCUUUAAAUCCUUACAUGAUCUGAGUUCAAACCGG